rnacentral:tRNA from 1 species
UGCGGGGAAGUGUAACAGUUGCACGCCAGGCUCAUAACCUGGAGGCAGUGGGUGCAAUUCCCGCCCCCGCUA